rnacentral:rRNA from 1 species
AUUGAACGCUGGCGGCGUGCCUAACACAUGCAGGUCGAGCGGUAACGCGGGAGCAAUCCUGGCGACGAGCGGCGAACGGGUGAGUAAUGCUUCGGAAUCUGCCCAAUGGUGGGGAAUAACCAGCCGAAAGGUUGGCUAAUACCGCAUACGUCCUAUGGUAGAAAGCGGGGGAUCGUAAGACCUCGCGCAGAUGGAGGAGCCGAAGUCGGAUUAGCUAGUUGGUAGGAUAACGGCCUACCAAGGCGACGAUCCGUAGCUGGUCUGAGAGGACGACCAGCCACACUGGGACUGAGACACGGCCCAGACUCCUACGGGAGGCAGCAGUGGGGAAUAUUGGAUAAUGGGGGAAACCCUGAUCCAGCGACGCCGCGUGUGUGAAGAAGGCCUGCGGGUUGUAAAGCACUUUUAGUGGGGAUGAAAAGCUCAGGGCUAAUACCUCUGGGUCUUGACCUAACCCAAAGAAAAAGCACCGGCUAACUCUGUGCCAGCCGCCGCAGUAAUAC